rnacentral:rRNA from 1 species
GUGGGGAAUCUUAGACAAUGGGGGAAACCCUGAUCUAGCCAUGCCGCGUGAGCGAUGAAGGCCUUAGGGUUGUAAAGCUCUUUCAGCUGGGAAGAUAAUGACGGUACCAGCAGAAGAAGCCCCGGCUAACUCCGUGCCAGCAGCCGCGGUAAUACGGAGGGGGCUAGCGUUGUUCGGAAUUACUGGGCGUAAAGCGCGCGUAGGCGGACCAGAAAGUUGGAGGUGAAAUCCCAGGGCUCAACCUUGGAACUGCCUUCAAAACUCCUGGUCUGGAGUUCGAGAGAGGUGAGUGGAAUUCCGAGUGUAGAGGUGAAAUUCGUAGAUAUUCGGAGGAACACCAGUGGCGAAGGCGACUCACUGGCUCGAUACUGACGCUGAGGUGCGAAAGCGUGGGGAGCAAACAGGAUUAGAAACCCGGGUAGUCC